CCUACGGGUGGCAGCAGUGGGGAAUAUUUCGCAAUGGGCGAAAGCCUGACGCAGCGACGCCGCGUGAGGGAUUGAGGUCUUCGGAUCGUAAACCUCUGUCAGCAGGGAAGAACGGUCACUGUGCUAAUCAGCAGUGAAUUGACGGUACCUGCAAAGGAAGCACCGGCUAACUCCGUGCCAGCAGCCGCGGUAAUACGGAGGGUGCGAGCGUUAAACGGAAUUACUGGGCGUAAAGCGCUCGUAGGCGGUAUGUCAAGUCAAGGGUGAAAUCCCCGCGCUCAACGUGGGAACUGCCUUUGAAACUGGCAAACUGGAGUGUGUGAGAGGAUAGUGGAAUUCCAGGUGUAGGAGUGAAAUGCGUAGAUAUCGGGAGGAACAUCAGUGGCGAAGGCGACUAUCUGGCACAUAACUGACGCUGAGGAGCGAAAGCGUGGGUAGCAAACAGGAUUAGAUACCCUAGUAGUC
rnacentral:rRNA from 1 species